ACUCCCUGUGGAUAACUGUCACACAGGUAUCAUUCAUGUCAAGGCAAAUUCUGGCAUCUCCUAACUACCCCUUUAAAUUUCUAGUUUAUAUUAUUGCCCAUGUAGGACCAGUCCAGUCCAAACCUAUGGUUAAGGACCAUAUCUCUCAGAGCAUCUACUCCAAAGUAGAUCAUCUUGGGAACACUCUGAGUGCUCUGGGGAUACUGAAGACAGAUCCAUCCAGCAUGAUCCCAUGAUCAUAGGUCAUCCCAUGAUCAUAAGUCAUCCCAUGAUCAUAGGUCACGGUUCCAUAAUUAAAAAUCACAACCCAGGGCCACUGGAGAAACCUAGCCAAUAAGUCCCAAGAAGUGACAUGGCUGGGGAGGCAGACCUGGGGGUUUACUGAGGGCUUCUGCUGGUCUAUCUGGGGCUAAUCAUCCAGGGUGGAGUCCUGCUAUCACCAUCUGUCAUGGGUCAGGUGAGGGACCUUAUACAUAUGUCCAGAAGGUGGGCCUAGUAGCCCCCUCGUGUUUAAGCCCUUAUAUGGCUGGGUGUAUUGUGGCUUUGCUGUGAGUUUCUCAAGCCUGAGAUAUGACUUGCCCAUGAAUUAUCUCCAUAUUUGAGGCUGGGCCAGUUGGUCAUGGCCAGGCCUGUGUGAAGUUUUCCACCUUAGCUCCCCUACCCCCAUUAUGAUCCCCUACCCAGGUCACCUGCCCAGAUCUUGAGAACUUGAGCAGUUUUGCCACAACCCUAGCUGAGAAUUGUCUCAGCUCCCAGCAACUUAGGCCUCAUUAACAACAUGGGUCCUCUCAGGUCUAAUAUAUCCUCCCCCAGAAUGCCUCACCCUAGCAGUGUCCUUAUAUUCUAUCUAUCACCACCCCCCCAACCUCUUGGGAUCUAUAUGAGUUAUAUAUUCAAUCCCCCUACUCCAGAUCUCAGCCUGUAAACCACGUCCUCUUUAAAAGACUCCAGACACAGCCCAAACAGACUGUCACCAGAGACCCUACCCCCCUCAGCAACCUAUGGCUGCUAGCAGAUCCUGUAGAUACCCAGAGAGUCCCAGACUUCCACAGAUCUCCUAGGAUCUGCCCUCACCUACAGUUCCAUGCCACAGACCCUUGGAGGCCUCAGACUACAGAUAUGGAUGGGCCAUGAGGGAGCUUUCCUUCUCUAACCUUUUGGCCUCUCUCAUGAAUUCUAGACCCUUCUCCAGCUUCACCACCUACUCCUAAACCACUUUCCUUCUACCUCUCUAUUCCUUCUAAGUCUCUAGCUUCUCCAAGGUAGGGGGUAACAAACACCUACCUUAUGGAUUUAUUGUGAGGAUGACAUUAAUAAUCUGAGAAGUACUUAGUAGAGUGCCUGACACACCUCAAGCCCUGCCUAUGGCAGCUAGUUGUUGAUUACAUGAUUUCUCUGGGUACCUUUCCUCCACCACCACCUCCCGCUGGCUCACCAGGUCCAAGUCUGAGCUCAUCCCUCCUUUACUCCACCCAGCUCUAAGGCUUCCUGCCUCUAGCCAAUACCCACAGCCAUCCAAGAUCCCUCCUUCUCCCUCAAUUCUGUCCAGCCAGCCUCCAAUUCCUGCCACUUGAUUCUCUUCUAUAUCCUGGAUAGUUCUCAACUUGAUUUUUAUUCUCCCUGCCCCCUACUGCCGUUUCUUCACAGCCUCUUUUGAAGGGGCUCUUGCCCUCAGGAUGUCCUCUGCAAUCAGCUUUCCACUGAGGAGCCAAGGGUUCUUCCCAAAACGCAGAACUGCACCCCUCUCUCCUCCGUCAACGUUCUCCACCUCCCUCCCCCAUGGCUACUAGAAUGGAACGCAAACCUCCCUGUGCACCUUUGCAUCAUCAGCUGGUCUUCCCCUCUGGCCCCUUCACCCGCAACCCCUAUGGCGAUGGGCAUUUCUCCCCUAACGGCCUGUAGGAAUCCUCCUCCUCUAGGAAUCUUCCCUGUCCACCCUCCCCAGACCAACCAGGCGCCCUCGCGUGCUCUCUCCCUCCCGGCCGAAGUGUCCUCUUGAGACCCGGCCCACAGCCCCGGGCUCGGGAGGGCCUCCCAACUCGUCAGUCCUCGGGGCUGCACGGCCAGCGCCCUCGGCCUGGACUGGGUCGGUUGGGUUCACUGCGGUCCCCUCCGGCUUCAGCGCGGGGCUGGCUGCUGGGCGGGUGUUUUGAAUGAGUGUGUGAGUGAGUCAAUCAGGAGUCCUCACGGACCCUGCAGACUGGGCGGAAGCCCAGUGGGGCCGCCUCCCGGCCGCUCCCCUGCCCCCGCGCCGGCUCCAGUGCGUGGCGUCUCCCGCGGGCCGAGAAGUAGCUGCAACUGGGAGACCCCGAGCCGGGCCGGCCGAGGCGCCCGCCGCCUCCUUCCGCUCGGAUCCCGCCGCCUCCGCCCCCUGCCGCCCGCUCUUUGUCUCCCGGCGCCCGGCUUCCCCGCCACGCGCCCCCGCACGCCCCUUCCCGGGAACCCCCGUCGACCCCGCGGACGCGACGCUGAGCGAAUCCGUCUCCCAGGCCGAGGCCCCGACCGGCCGGGUCGGCGGGGGCGGGGCGGGAGGUGGCGCUCCUCCGCUCGCGCGCGCGCUCGCUCCCUCACGCUCUCUCACAC
rnacentral:lncRNA from 1 species